AAAAAGACAAACCAUGGAUUUCCGUGUCCAACUUUGACUGUCCGUCUUAUAUAAAUUUUUUUUAUAAUUCGUAUUUUCAUUGUUGUUAGAUGAUAAAACAUGAUUAAUAUUUUAUGCGUGACUUGUUUUUUUAAUUUUUUUUCAUAAUUUUUUCAAAUAAGACGGACGGUCAAACGUUGGGCACGGAAAUCAGGGUUUGUCUUUUU
rnacentral:pre_miRNA from 1 species